rnacentral:rRNA from 1 species
UACGUAGGGGGCUAGCGUUGUCCGGAAUCAUUGGGCGUAAAGCGCGUGUAGGCGGUUCGGUAAGUCCGCUGUGAAAGUCGGGGGCUCAACCCUCGGAAGCCGGUGGAUACUGUCGGGCUAGAGUACGGAAGAGGCGAGUGGAAUUCCUGGUGUAGCGGUGAAAUGCGCAGAUAUCAGGAGGAACACCAAUGGCGAAGGCAGCUCGCUGGGACGUGACUGACGCUGAGACGCGAAAGCGUGGGGAGCAAACAGG